GAUGAACGCUAGCGGCAGGCCUAACACAUGCAAGUCGAGGGGUAACUAGAGUGAUAGCAAUAUUACUUUGGCUAGACCGGCGCACGGGUGCGUAACACGUAUGCAACCUACCUUAUACUGGGGAAUAACUUCGAGAAAUCGGCGCUAAUACCCCAUAACAUUGCGAAGAGGCAUCUCUUUGCAAUUAAAGCUCCGGCGGUAUAAGAUGGGCAUGCGUCCAAUUAGCUAGUUGGUGAGGUAACGGCUCACCAAGGCUACGGUUGGUAGGGGUUCUGAGAGGAUGAUCCCCCACACUGGUACUGUGACACGGACCAGACUCCUACGGGAGGCAGCAGUGAGGAAUAUUGCGCAAUGGACGAAAGUCUGACGCAGCCAUGCCGCGUGCAGGAUGACGGCCCUAUGGGUUGUAAACUGCUUUUGUACGGGAAUAAACCCUUCUACGUGUAGGAGGCUGAAGGUACCGUAAGAAUAAGCACCGGCUAACUCCGUGCCAGCAGCCGCCGUAACAC
rnacentral:rRNA from 1 species